rnacentral:lncRNA from 1 species
CAAUGUUAAAUCCUACAAUGAAUUUGGGAGGUCCUCAUAUUUGGUAUUCAAAUAUUUAUAAGGCUUUAGAUCUUUCAAACGAGGAAGUUGCUACACUUGCAGAUGCAAAAGCAUCAAUUAAAAUUAAUGCUCAAACAGUUUAUAAUGCUUAUCAACUUGCCUUAGAGCAUGCUAGGCCAAAUAUUCCAACCCUACUUUAUCUAGCUCACAAUCGUCUAA